UGAAAUAGAGGUUCCUGCAAAGUACCAGGUGU
rnacentral:piRNA from 1 species